rnacentral:rRNA from 1 species
CCUACGGGGGGCAGCAGUGGGGAAUAUUGCACAAUGGGCGCAACCCUGAUGCAGCGACGCCGCGUGAGUGAAGAAGUAUCUCGGUAUUUAAAGCUCUAUCAGCAGGGAAGAAAAUGACGGUACCUGACUAAGAAGCCCCGGCUAACUACGUGACAGCAGCCGCGGUAAUACGUAGGGGGCAGGCGUUAUCCGGAUUUACUGGGCGUAAAGGGAGCGUAGUCGGCGCGGCAAGUCCGGAGUGAAAGCCCAUGGCUUAACCAUGGUACUGCUCUGGAAACUGUGGGGCUUGAGUGCGUGAGGGGCAGGCGGAAUGCCUAGUGUAGCGGUGAAAUGCGUAGAUAUUAGGAGGAACACCGGCGGCGAAGGCGGCCUGCUGGACCGUAACUGACGUUGAGGCACGAAAGCGUGGGGAGCAAACAGGAUUAGAUACCCUAGUAGUC